GCCCCUGUAGCGCAAUGGAUUGUGCUUUGGACUUCUAUUCCAAAGGGCGUGGGUUCGAAUCCCACCUGAGAUG
rnacentral:tRNA from 1 species